rnacentral:tRNA from 1 species
CGGAGCGUAGUUCAGUCUGGUAGAAUGCUUGCAUGGGGUGCAAGUGGUCGUAGGUUCAAAUCCUAUCGCUCCGACCA